UACGGAGGGAGCUAGCGUUAUUCGGAAUUACUGGGCGUAAAGCGUGCGUAGACGGUUACAUAAGUCGGGUGUGAAAGCCCCGGGCUCAACCUGGGAAUUGCAUUCGAGACUGCGUAGCUAGGGUGCGGAAGAGGGAAGCGGAAUUUCCGGUGUAGCGGUGGAAAUGCGUAGAUAUCGGAAGGAACACCAGUGGCGAAAGCGGCUUCCUGGUCCAGCACCGACGUUCAGGCACGAAAGCGUGGGGAGCAAACAGG
rnacentral:rRNA from 1 species